rnacentral:rRNA from 1 species
GACGAACGCUGGCGGCGUGCUUAACACAUGCAAGUCAAGCGGAAAGGCCCUUUCGGGGGUACUCGAGCGGCGAACGGGUGAGUAACACGUGAGCAACCUGCCCUUCACUUUGGGAUAACCAUCGGAAACGGUGGCUAAUACCGGAUACGACGCUCCACCGUAUGGUGUGGGUGUGGAAAGUUUUUCGGUGGGGGAUGGGCUCGCGGCCUAUCAGCUUGUUGGGGGGGUGAUGGCCUACCAAGGCGAUGACGGGUAGCCGGCCUGAGAGGGCGACCGGCCACACUGGGACUGAGACACGGCCCAGACUCCUACGGGAGGCAGCAGUGGGGAAUAUUGCGCAAUGGGCGAAAGUCUGACGCAGCGACGCCGCGUGAGGGAUGACGGCCUUCGGGUUGUAAACCUCUUUCAGCAGGGACGAAGCGAUAGUGACGGUACCUGCAGAAGAAGCACCGGCCAACUACGUGCCAGCAGCCGCGGUAA